rnacentral:rRNA from 1 species
GAUGAACGCUAGCGGCAGGCCUAACACAUGCAAGUCGAGGGGCAUCAUGGCGUAGCAAUACGCUGAUGGCGACCGGCGCACGGGUGCGUAACGCGUAUGGAACCUACCCACCGCAGGGGGAUAACCCGCCGAAAGGCGGACUAAUACCCCAUGGUUCCCCGACCCUGCCUGGGGUUGGGGGUAAAGCCUACGGGCGGCGGUGGAUGGCCCUGCGUGCCAUUAGCUGGCUGGUGGGGUAACGGCCCACCAGGGCGAUGACGGUUAGCUGGUCUGAGAGGAUGGUCAGCCACACUGGGACUGAGAUACUGCCCAGACUCCUACGGGAGGCUGCAGUCGAGAAUCAUUCGCAAUGGGCGCAAGCCUGACGGUGCGACGUCGCGUGGAGGAUGAAGGUCUUCGGAUUGUAAACUCCUGUCAUGUGGGAGAAAUGGCCCGGGUCUGAACAGGACCUGGGAAUGAUAGUACCACAGGAGGAAGGGACGGCUAACUCUGUG